rnacentral:rRNA from 1 species
GACGAACGCUGGCGGCGUGCUUAACACAUGCAAGUCGAACGGAAAGGCCCUGCAAGUGUGGGGUGCUCGAGUGGCGAACGGGUGAGUAACACGUGAGUAACCUGCCCUUGACGUUGGGAUAACUUCAGGAAACUGGGGCUAAUACAGGAUAGGAGCUCCAGCUGCAUGGAGGGGGUUGGAAAGUUUCGGUGGUUGGGGAUGGACUCGCGGCUUAUCAGUGUGUUGGUGGGGUAGUGGCUUACCAAGGCUUUGACGGGUAGCCCGCCUGAGAGGGUGACCGGCCCCAUUGGGACUGCGAUACGGCCCAGACUCGUACGGUAGGCAGCGGUGGGGAAUAUUGCACAGUGGGCGGACGCCUGAUGCAGCGACGCCGCGUGCGGGAUGACGGCCUUCGGGUUGUAAACCGCUUUCGGCUGUGACGAAGCGUGAGUGACGGUAAUGUAUAAAGAAGCACCGGCUAACUACGUG